AUUGAACGCUGGCGGCAGGCCUAACACAUGCAAGUCGAGCGAGCGGCGGACGGGUGAGUAAUGUCUGGGAAACUGCCUGAUGGCGGGGGAUAACUACUGGAAACGGUAGCUAAUACCGCAUACCAUCAGAUGUGCCCCGAUGGGAUUAGCGAGUAGGUGGGGUAAUGGCUCACCUAGGCGACGAUCCCUAGCUGGUCUGAGAGGAUGCCCAGCCACAGUGGAACUGAGAAACGGGCCAGAAUCCGACGGGAGGCAGCAGUGGGGAAUAGUGCACAAGGGGGGCAAGCCUGAUGAAGCAAUGCGGCGUGUGGGAAGAAGGCCUUAGGGUUGUAAAGCACGUUCAGCGGGGAGGCGUUACCCGCAGAAGAAGCACCGGCUAACUCCGUGCCAGCAGCCGCGGUAAUAC
rnacentral:rRNA from 1 species